rnacentral:rRNA from 1 species
AGUGAACGCUGGCGGUAGGCCUAACACAUGCAAGUCGAACGGCAGCACAGUAAGCGCUUGCUCUUACGGGUGGCGAGUGGCGGACGGGUGAGGAAUACAUCGGAAUCUACUUUUUCGUGGGGGAUAACGUAGGGAAACUUACGCUAAUACCGCAUACGACCUACGGGUGAAAGCAGGGGAUCUUCGCACCUUGCGCGAUUGAAUGAGCCGAUGUCGGAUUAGCUAGUUGGCGGGGUAAAGGCCCACCAAGGCGACGAUCCGUAGCUGGUCUGAGAGGAUGAUCAGCCACACUGGAACUGAGACACGGUCCAGACUCCUACGGGAGGCAGCAGUGGGGAAUAUUGGACAAUGGGCGCAAGCCUGAUCCAGCCAUACCGCGUGGGUGAAGAAGGCCUUCGGGUUGUAAAGCCCUUUUGUUGGGAAAGAAAAGCAGCAGGUUAAUACCCCGCUGUUCUGACGGUACCCAAAGAAUAAGCACCGGCUAACUUCGUG